UGCUGUGAGCUGUUUCCCAUUCAGACUAAAGAAUCAUUCACUGCAGGCAAACAGGCGAGAGAUCCAGUACAUGUCGAGAACAUUCUCGUGGAGAUGUUCCCAAUUGCAUCUUUUAGACGCUUGUGGGUCCAAGCCUCACUUCGGGACUCUGGACUCCAGUCAAGACUAACACUUGAACAAUGACAACAACAACUUGCAUUUAUAUAGCAUCCCUCACACAGGGUAUUGUCCAGAGCACACAGUCCUCAGUGCAUUUGUGGGUUAUUUUCCUUGCUGUACUGUGUACUGGAGGACUCACCACCAGGUUACCUGCAAUAAUCUGCAUUCUGGAAUGGUUCAGUUCAAAUUCUCUGCACAAAUUCUCUCCACUAACUCUAAAAAGUGAAUAUCCUAUAUAUUUGUUUA